GACGAACGCUGGCGGCGUGCUUAACACAUGCAAGUCACGGGGGCCCGCAAGGGUAACCGGCGAACGGGUGCGUAACACGUGAGCAAUCUGCCGUCCACUGGGGGAUAUCCGGCCCAACGGCCGGGUAAUACCGCAUACGCUUGCCGGGUGGCAUCACUUGGCAAGGAAACCUCCGGGGGUGGACGAGGAGCUCGCGGCCUAUCAGCUAGUUGGUGGGGUCACGGCCCACCAAGGCGGUGACGGGUAGCUGGUCUGAGAGGAUGGCCAGCCACAUUGGGACUGAGAUACGGCCCAGACUACUCCGGGAGGCAGCAGUGGGGACUAUUGCGCGAUGGCCGCAAGGCUGACGCAGAGACGCAGCGUGGGGGAUGACGCAUUUCGGUGUGUAAACCCCUGUUGACCGGGACGAACCUCCCCUUUCGAGGGGACUGACGGUACCGGGUGAGGAAGCACCGGCUAACUCCGUG
rnacentral:rRNA from 1 species